rnacentral:snRNA from 1 species
GUGCUUGCUUCGGCAGCACAUAUACUAAAA